CAGCACCUCAAGUGGUCAGGAUGAUUAUUGGGCCUAAAGCAUCCGUAGCCGGCGCUGUAAGUUUUCGGUUAAAUCUGUACGCUCAACGUACAGGCUGCCGGGAAUACUGCAGCGCUAGGGAGUGGGAGAGGUAGACGGUACUCGGUAGGAAGGGGUAAAAUCCUUUGAUCUAUUGAUGACCACCUGUGGCGAAGGCGGUCUACCAGAACACGUUCGACAGUGAGGGAUGAAAGCUGGGGGAGCAAACCGGAUUAGAUACCCCAGUAGUCC
rnacentral:rRNA from 1 species